GUUCAUCUUCUUCUCGCUCGAACCCUCUCGAACCCUAAAAGCUAAGGCACCGUCAGCUUCAUCUUCGCGAUGGAACCCAGCGCUGGUCGUGGUGCUGCUUGCCCAGCCCUGGUCGUGGUGCUGCUCGCCUCUCUCUGUGUCGCGGUUCUGCUCAGCCUCAUCUUCUCGAACCCAGCCAUUGUCGUGGUGCUGCUCGCCUCUCUCUGUGUGAGGUGCGGCCACCGCAGCUUUCACCUCCAGAAGAGUCGCUGCUCCGCCUGCGCUUCCCCCACUGCAUGCAAGAUGAAAUUACGAGAAGGUUGAGAAGAUUAGGAAAGGAACCUACGGCGUCGUUUACAAGGCUCGCGACCACGUUACCAAUGAGACCAUCGCUCUCAAGAAGAUUUGCCUUGAGCAAGAGGAUGAAGGCGUUCCUAGCACUGCAUUUCGCGAGAUUUCUCUCCUCAAGGAAAUGCAGCACAGGAAUACUGUUAGGUCCAUCCUGAUGUUGCCACUGGAAAUAAGAACUCUAAAUUUGGCAUUAGAAAUGAGAAGCUGCAGUGGUUUUUAGAUGCUAUAAAGGAGCAUUCUAAUGAGGUUAAGUUUGUAGGUGUCCACUGCCAUCUUGGAUCAACAAUUACCAAGGUAGACAUCUUUAGGGAUGCUGCUGUUAUUAUGAUCAACUACAUUGACCAAAUCCGAGAUCAAGGUUUUGAAGUUAACUACUUAAAUAUUGGUGGUGGACUUGGGAUAUACUAUUAUCAUUCUGAUGCUAUCCUUUGACAACAAGGGAUCUCAUUGAAAAGCAAAAGCAGGAACCAGGGUAAUACAAACGAUCACAUUUCUGUCAUCUAAUUGUCAAUGGAACUGAAAAGCUUCUAUAGAAAAAAAUUGGGUAAGCAAAUCAAGGCAAAAAGAAAAAAAGGAUUGUAGGGAAAAGAACCAAGGGCAUUUUGGACUGGAUAGAAAUUUCAUAUUAUUAAGCUGCCUCAAUCAUAUGAUUACUAUUUUUACUAUCUUAUGUUUUUUCUUUUCUUUUUUUUAUUAUCUUAUAUUCAGUAAGGUUCAUUAUAUUUCAUGAUUGUCACAAACUUGCAAAAGAAAAAGCCCCCAACCCUCUAUGUGUGGAUGCUACUUAUGUUUCUGUAUGUGUAGUUUGUGAAGUGCAUCAUUUAUGUGUGUGAAUUUGUGUGAUGAAAUAACAAUAAGUUGUACCUUACACAAUCUUUGAUUUGCAUUUCCUUUUAACAUAUAAGUGUCGUUGACUAGUUAAAACUUAAAAAGUAUUUUCCUAUGGUACUUUCCCUGCUUUGGUGUUAGGCAAGAGCUGAUAGCAAUUAUUUUAAGAAAAAGGUAUGUUAAUUUUAGGGUUAAUAGUUAAAAACUUAAACCAGUCCUUGAAAGUUUAAGCAUGUCUCAAUUUAGUCUUCAAUAGACCAAAUAUAUCAAAUUUUUGUUUUCGGGAAAAUACAUUUACAAAUCAGAUUGAGGACUGUAAAGAGCUCUGUGGCUAAUUUGGUUUAUUGAUGUUGUGAUACAUCAUGCAUUUGGUUCAUUUCUGUAAAUUUUUGGUUUAGGGAAGCAAGCAAACUAGAAUGGAUCCAUAUUAGUUUAUUGAUGUUCACUGCCAAUUUGCACAGGUAUAAAAUUAUUGGUUCAUAUACUGGUGUUAAGAUUUGUAGCUGGACCAAGUCACAGCUUCGAGGACGGUGUGGUUGCUACAAGCCUUCAUUCUAUGGUAAAAUACAAGACAUGGUAAUCAGCUGUCUUACCUCAUAUACGGUAUUAGAUUAAGUUAGACUAGGCAACUUCUUUUCUUGCAUAAAUGAUAACAAAAGAAAUGUGCUUAGUGUAUGUUUAUUUGCCAGAUUCUAGAAUCCAUCAUCGGUUAGCAUUCGUUAAGAGCUCAUGUCUCACACUUUAGUUGAAUUCACUUAACAGGAACAAGAUUUUAUUGUUAGUAUUUUCCAUUUUAAAUUAACUUUUUAAUUAACUAAAUUUCUUGAUAAAAUUUAAAGGCGAAAAUAAUUUACAAAAUUAUAUAAGAAACCUAAAUUGUUUAUUUUGGGAAUCUCCUUAUAUCACAACAAUAAAGUUUAAUUAUUCCAUGGAUUCUAAUAAUUUUAAAAUUGAAGGAAGUGCAAAUUUUAAUUUUGAAAAUUUGGCAUUCAUUAUAUAGCUUGCACUUUUUUAGAAUUGAAGGUGAGAAAGAGAGUAUCUUUUUAAGUAUUAUUCUUUUUCUUAGAAGUUUUUUUUCUUUUCUUUUUCGUGCUUGCAUAAUAAAUAUCAUUUGUUUGCUUGAACUGAAUCUUGGGUUUGUUUGCUUGCUAUAAGUUUUAUUCCUGAAUUGAAUCUUAUUAGUAUUUAUUUAAGUCUAUUUUUUUAUUCUAGGCUUUUAAUAUUUGUCUUCUCGCUGUUGUUGUCGUUGCCACCUCUCUUGGUUUGCUUCUGCUGCGGUACUGUUGUUGCUGUUAGGGCACAUAUUUAGUUUCUGGGUGGUAGGUGACUAUUUUUAUUUAGUUUAAUUUUAAAAACUCCCACAGCUUCUAUAGAGGCAACUAAGUUAAUGAAUGUUAAGUUGUUAUUACUUAUUUGUUCUGUAAUAGAACCUCUAAAAUAAAAUCACAAGUGGAAUUUGUUUUACUAUAAUUUGUUCUUGUAGUGUACUGUCGACUGAAUUUGUACUGCUGAUUGCUUAACUAUAAUUUUUUCUAUGCUUUAUCUUCUCAUCUAUUUGUUGGCCUUGGCAAGUUUCCUGCCUCAUUCUACUUUUAGGCUUAAUAUGUACUGGUUAUUGCUUAAUUUGCUGCUUUGUCAUGAGUUUUUCUUUCAAUUUCCAUAGAUAAAUAGAAAGAAAUAAGUAUAUGUGUUUAAUUCAAUUAUUGCAGGAGCUGACCUUUUAUUUUUCUUAGUUUCUACAAAAAUAAAGUAUAUGUUGAAUUAGGAUAGGUAUGUGAUAGUGCUAGAUAAAAAAGUACCAAGGGGAGCAUAUGGUUGUGACCUUGUAUAGGGAUUAUUUCUUGUUUUUGAUUUGUGUUGAAUUAGGAUAGGUAUGUGAUGGCUGAAUAUGUAUUAUUGCAGGACCUAAUUAAAGUGGCCUUGCCAUUUUCAUAUUUAAUCAAUUUGGAUUUGGAAUUGGAUUUGUUGGACUUAAUUAAAGUAGCCUUUAUAACAUGCACUAACUUCAGGUUAUUUAAAAUUCUGCAGGACAGUGAUAAAAAUAAUGGAGCUCAUAAUGGAUGAACACACUACUCAUGAAAUUUGAUAUUUUGUAACCAAGGAUAAGGAAAUAGAUAUGUGACACUUUGAAUUGUAAUUUUUAUUUUCUUUUUUUGACUUUGAUUUUUGGUACUUUGUGAUCAAAGUCUACUUUUGUGGUGACAAGCUUAUAUAUAAGGCCGUUUUU